CGAUACGUUUCAUUAAAGACAACGGCAGACCGAAGUGUAAUGGAGCGGGAAUGAAAUUUUGAAGAUUAGCUUAUCAGAUUCAAUUCACAGGAACAUUUUCGUCUUUCCCCCAACCCAUUUGAAGUCGAAAUCCCGAUGUGAGCCCUAACCCAUCUGAAGAACACCUCCCUACUUCUCCAACAUCGAACCGGUACUCUCCACCAACGCCACCGAAAUCGAAAUCGCCCUAAUCCAUUUGAAAUCAAAAUCCCCAAGAGCCCUAACCCAUAUGAAGAACAACUUUCCCCUUUCUCCAACAUCGAAAUCAGUAAUCUCCACCAAUGAAAUCGAAAUCGAAAUCGUCCUAACCCAUUUGAAAUCAAAAUCACCGGGAGCCCUAACCCAUCUGAAGAACACCUUUCCCCUUUCUCCAACAUUGAAAUCAGUAACCUCCAACAUCGAUUUCGAAAUCGAAAUCGCCGUAACCCAUAGUGUUUUUCCUCCCCUCGGCAGCCCCGUGUAUUUUCUGUUCUAACCCCUCCCUACUCGUCGCAGUCCCCGUGACGUUCCCUCCCCCACUACUCUUUUAGUAUUCUAGAUUGGUUGUUUUAUUCACAUUGGACAAGAGCGGCAGUAGUUUGGCAACAUGUUUGUUGAAGAAAAUGUAUCAUCGUGUGUCUCUUCAUCUUCUCUUAUUAAUCAAACUUCGAGGAACAACCCAAUGUGCACUUGUGGGAAGCCCGCUACACUUCGAACAUCGUAUACGCGAAGAAAUCCGGGUCGAUCAUUCUUUGGGUGUCCAAAUUAUAAUACGAAGGGGUUGCCCCACUGCAACUAUUUCAAAUGGGCAAAUAGCAGUGAGGAUAGAGAAAAAGAACUCCUUAAGAAAGAAAUUCAGAUUUUAAGGAAGGAGGAAGAGCUUCGAAAAAGAGAGGAAGAGAUUGUAAAGAUGGAGUUGGGAGUUCACAAUGACCAACUCGAUAUUCAAAGACAACGUACAGACAUCCGUCGUGAACGCAGAUUGCUUCGUAUCUAUUUGGCAAUUUGUAUAGUAGUUUGUUCGUACGUGACACUAUCACGUUGAAUAUGUACUGCAAAUCUGUGCUGAAGCUAAGAUUGUAUAUAUCUGAACACUUUAAUAUGUGCUUUUAGAUUACUAGUUCUAGAAUUGCAUGCAAUAUGUACUGCACUUUUGGGGGAAAUAUUUGUGAUGUAUUUUGGAUCAUGGGGGACACUACUUUUGAAACUGUAU